ACACAUGCAAGUCUAGCGGCAGCGCGGGGGCAACCCUGGCGGCGAGCGCCGAACGGGUGAGUAACACUUCGUAACGUACCCGCUUGUGGGGGAUAACCUACCGAAUGGUAGGCUAAUACCGCAUGAGCUCGGGAGAGGAAAGCGGGGGACCUGCAAGGGCCUCGCGCGAGCGGAGCGGCCGAUGUCCGAUUAUCUAGUUGGUGGGGUAAAGGCUUACCACGGCGACGAUCGGUAACUGGUCUGAGAGGAUGAUCAGCCACACUGGGACUGAGACACGGCCCAGACUCCUACGGGAGGCAGCAGUGGGGAAUUUUGGACAAUGGGGGCAACCCUGAUCCACUCCGUGCCGCGUGAGUGAAGAAGGCCUUCGGGUUGUAAAGCUCUUUCGGUGGGAACGAAAUGGCCCGUGCCAACACCAUGGGUCGAUGACGGUACUCACAGAAGAAGCACCGGCUAACUACGUGCCAGCAGCCGCGGUAAUACGUAGGGUGCGAGCGUUUAUCGGAAUUACUGGGCGUAAAGCGUGCGCAGGCGGUUUCACAAGCUCGAUGUGAAAGCCCCGGGCUUAACCUGGGAAUGGCAUUGAGUGACUGUGGAGCUUGAGUCCGGCAGAGGGAGGUGGAAUUCCACGUGUAGCAGUGAAAUGCGUAGAGAUGUGGAGGAACACCGAUGGCGAAGGCAGCCUCCUGGGCCGACACUGACGCUCAUGCACGAAAGCGUGGGGAGCAAACAGGAUUAGAUACCCUGGUAGUCCACGCCCUAAACGAUGUCAACUGGUUGUUGGGGAAGGAAACUUCUUUAGUAACGAAGCUAACGCGUGAAGUUGACCGCCUGGGGAGUACGGGCGCAUGGUCAAACUCAAA
rnacentral:rRNA from 1 species